rnacentral:rRNA from 1 species
GACGAACGCUGGCGGCAUGCCUUACACAUGCAAGUCGAACGGCAGCACGGGUGCUUGCACCUGGUGGCGAGUGGCGAACGGGUGAGUAAUACAUCGGAACGUACCUUAUCGUGGGGGAUAACGCAGCGAAAGUUGCGCUAAUACCGCAUACGCCCUGAGGGGGAAAGCGGGGGACCGUAAGGCCUCGCGCGAUUAGAGCGGCCGAUGUCUGAUUAGCUUGUUUGUGACGUAAAAGCUCACCAAGGCGAUGAUCAGUAGCUGGUCUGAGAGGACGAUCAGCCACACUGGGACGGAGACACGGACCAGACUGCUGCGGGAGGCAGCAGUGGGGAAUUUUGGACAAUGGGGGCAACCCUGAUCCAGCAAUGCCGCGUGAGUGAAGAAGGCCUUCGGGUUGUAAAGCUCUUUUGUCAGGGAAGAAACAGCAGCUCUAACACAGUCUGCGAAUGACGGUACCUGAAGAAUAAGCACCGGCUAACUACGUGCCAGCAGCCGCCGUAA